CAGACAUCACACAGGAUCCCCCGAUGGCGCUCAGUCUCUGGCUGUGUCUGCUCGCCCCGGCUCUGCAGCUCACCAGCCAGAAGUCCUGCUGCCCGGAGGGGCCCCUGCUGGCUCCCCAGCUGUCUCUGAACGUGUCCCUGGCUUCCAUCGGGGACACGGUUACCGUUAGGUGUCUGGUCCCAGGAGAGUCCCCCAUGACCCGCAUUAUCUUCUGCGAGGACGGGCAGGAAGCUGCAAGUCAAGUGAUCACCCCCGGGCGAUUCUCUUACGACUUCACCCAUCGCGUCUCCAAACCGGGAUAUGCCAAGGAUUUCUCCUGCUGGUACCAGCACAGGGGUGACAAUAACGAGCUGGUUAAUUCCAACCUGAGCACCCCCAAGACCCUGCGCGUGACAGACGCGGAACCUGCCCAGGAUGGAGGCGACUCUGCCAGCCCAGCCGGGAACCUGAACCUGAUCUUGAGCAUCUCGGUGCCCUGCGCCCUGCUGCUGGGGCUGCUGGGGCUGCACAGGGUGGCAUCGUCCUGGCGAAGACCCAGGGAGCCGGGCCCCGCUGGCGGCGAGGCUGGCGGCGGUGAUCCCUACGGUGGCCGUGGUGGUGGUGGACACACUGAGGAGCAGCUGCACUAUGCUGCCAUUGGCCAGUUCUGCAGCCCCAGGACGCUGCCCCCCAAGAACGAGGACCCGGUGACAUACGCGGUGCUGAGGACACAGAGGGGACGCCCCACGUCGGAAGGGCACCAGGACUCUCGGGCGCAGUGGCUGAUGCUGGGGGGCAGAGAGGGCGCUGGCUGGGUACGGGGACCACGCUGGAGCCUGGGAGCUGGGUGGAGGCGUCUGGUGCUGCUGGCAUCCCCAGGAAAGCCAUUCUGACCCCUCGCUCACCUCUCAAGCAAGGCGUGGUCUGGCAUGACCCCCAGCCCUGCGGCUGGGCUCUGAACACUGCUCAGCCGCCCCAGGAGUGGAGCAGGCACCUGCCCUGCUGCCCCUUGGAGCUGGGAGGAGCUGACAGGGUGUGACCCACUCCCAGGUUCUCCCUGCAGCCUCUCCCCCAUCAGUGCCCUCCCAUGGCCCUGGCACCAGGCCCCUCAGCAGCCUGAGAGCCAGGCGCUCCUGACCCAGCCGUGUAGCAAUGGCCGGGGUCGCUGGGUUAAUAAAACAAGCCGCGUCCUGCGGCAAUGACCAAACCAACCAGGCCACCUCCCUGCGUCCAUCUGUCUGUGUCUGGGGGCUGAGCUCACGCCCUGCAGCACAGCGCCCCCUACUGAGCCACAGCGCCCCCUACUGAGCUCCAUCCCGCUCCCUGCAGCACAGCGGCCCCUAGUGUCACCCACCCACUGGCGAGCUGGCCCAGGAUUCCUGCAUCUCUUUGUUUUAUCCUCCAUUUUCAGGAAAAUAAGACCAACUUUUAAAA